AAUAAGUGAAGUUUUGCACUAUUCAUCUCCAACGUUUGACUGUUCGUCUUAUUUAAAAAAAAUUAUGAUUACUAUUUUUAUUGUUAUUAGAUGAUAAAACAUAAAUAGUACUUUAUGUGUGACUAUUUUUUAAAAAAAAUUCAUAAAUUUUUUAAAUAAGACGGACGAUCAAACGUUGGACACGGAUUUCUACGGUUGCACUUAUU
rfam:Oryza glumipatula chromosome 5, whole genome shotgun sequence.